UAGUGGAGCGGCGUCCGUUGCCGCUAGUUGUCAGCGAGUAGUGGGAUCGUGCAGCACCUGCCGCAGGGAGCGGAGCAGCAUCAUAGCUGUUGACACAGCCUGUCAGAGAGUAAUGGGUCCACCACAGGGGGUGAUGGAGCCGCACGAAAUCCGCUACAGGAAGUGGAACAGGAUCAUGGUUGUUAUCGUGAUCUGCCAAGGG
rnacentral:lncRNA from 1 species